AUUGUGAAGAAAAAGACAGUUUUAUUUAAAAUGAGAAAAGAAAUCUCAACCAGUGAUUGGAGGCGUGGAGAUGUAGAUUUCUUAUUCUGAGCCGGCCUUAGGCCACCGACCAGGAAAGCUCGGGAGGAAUGCUUCUGGUUAUAAACUGCCCCGUGCUUUCCACCUGGAACACGUACACUCCAGCAAUCCCACCACGCCCACAGGCCCGGGCAACCGCUCAGCUCUGCGGCUUCACCUCCCUCCGCUCUGCCUUAGAUCCACCUCUGACAGCAAGGUCUCACUGCAACAGUGAAGAGCCAGCUGGGUCACUUAGCCUCUGGGGAAAGAGACCGCCUGCCACCUUCCAACCAUUUCAGGUGACACUUAACCCGCACCGCCUGCUGGGUAAAGAAGACCGCUCCGAUCCGAAGUCCCCGUUUGCGACUUGAGAGACCGGAGCGACGCUCCAUCGCGCCAAGGAAUACAGGAAGCAGACUCAGAAAAUGGAGAGAACAAACCAAGGCCGAGCAGCUUGGAUCUCAGCCAAAGCCCUGCCACAGGACCGCUGAGGCAGACGGUGCUGCUGCCCUUGCUUGUUGCUGCGAGACACACCACCUUCGCGCGUUGCCGCGGGCCUUGGAGAGCAGGGUGCCGUCUCUGUCUGCAGCCCUGCGCUGCCUCUGAGAACUCCCCUAUUGUUACUGCCAUGGAAAUGUCCCCACGGUUCCAUUUUUCCGUGUUGAUUGUCUUAGGUUUAGAACUGGAGGAUUUGCCUGCUUUGCUGGCCAGGUACCAUGAAGAUUCCUAAGGCAGAGAACGUUUUAAACGUAUAAGGGCCAGGUACGUGCUGGUCAGUGGAGGGGGGCAGCAUGGUGGAACUGGGAGGAGGAGAAAAGAUCUCCAUGGUGAUUUACCCUUUGGCUGUCCAACAGUUACAUCACGUCUACAUAUGGCCCUCACACCCCUCUUGCAGAGUACAGGUCAGCUAUAUCUUAAGUAUAGAUAUAUAGUCCGUAGCUCUUGAAAGAAGAAAAACCCAUAUCUGCUCAUUAGUACAGCUCAAAAUGUAAUUGGUCUUACUCUUCCUGCUGUCUCAGCUGCACAUCAAAUUGGGAUUAUUGCUGUAUUCGUUAGUGGAAGAAUUCUUAAUACAACACUACAGUCUUCAGACCGCCAAGUCUAAAAUUUUGACUACAAGUAAAAUACCAAAGUGAUCCACAGCCACUCCUAUCCCUUGUACCCUAAAAUCUUAAUCUUACAUCACUCUCCACCAUUGGCUAGUACCACCUAACAGUGGGCAGCUGCAGCUCUACAAGCCUACUCACGGGUAAACUGUAGAAGACCGGUGAAGACAGACCCGCCUGAUGGCUAGAACUCCCGGCGGGACCUCUAGUUACCCACUGCAUCAGGAAAGAGAAAUGGCCAGAAAUACAGGUCUGUUAAUUCAUGGGUAAUUACCAAUGCACCCAACAGUUGGCUGGCCCAGGGUUUGGAAUGAACAGUGUCACAAUUGCAUGAUUAACAGCAGGGAAUUUGGGCAAGUAUGAGGCUGGACUCUUCAGCGUGAUCUCAAAGAUAUUUGUGAAUGUGAAACACCCACCAAAAGGCCAGUGCUGCAGAAAUGACUUAUAACAGUCGUACAGACGCGGGUCUGCACUCUGGGUGUCGACUGUUUUCACCAGAUAUCUCAUCCUCUGCGUGCUAGGUGCAGGAACUCAGAAGCUGUGGCGACAGGGGUGGAGUAUAGGCUUGAGCUCUCAGCAACAUGUACGUUUAUUCACCAGUUAAACUGAUGAGUGAGUGCUGACAUUGCGUACCCGUGCUAACAGCAGCACAGCCCAACCGCGAGCUCUCAAUACAGUGAAACGCCUGGUUUGUGGGGGCCAAGCCAGCCUUUUCCUGCCAGGUUGAUGACCCUGACCUCUGACCUCAUGGUGUGGGUAGAGAUUUGUCUUCACUAAAACACACACAUUCAGGAUAGGAUAUCGUCUUCCUUGCAACUAGCAUUUGCCAACACCACCAUCCCUGGAGUAAUAGAAUGUCUCAUUCACUAUCAUGGCAAUCCAUGUAACAUUACAUCUGAUCAAGAAACAUUUUACAGCAAAGUAAGAAUUCAUAGGCUCACAUGUAUGAAGCCAAAUUUUCUUACCAUGCAUUCUGUAACCUGGAGGUGGGUGGACUGGCUUCCUGGAGAUAUUACGAUGGCAUUUGGGAGAUAAUGACCUGGAAUGAUGGGGUUCUGUCUCAGAGGAAGCAGUAUGUGCUUUAUGUCACCACCUACUGAAUGAUAUUUGUCUACCUCCAUAAGUAGGCAAAACAAGAGCUCAGGAGUGAAAGAGUGGCAUCGCUCACUGGUACCCCUAACAACCGCUUGGAGAAGUUCUGCUUUUCAUUUUCUCUCUUCUGACCCAGAAAUGACUCAAGUUUCUUUUGUUCUUAACUCAUUGGUCAGAAUAGAUCACUUGGCUCCACUCAACCUAAAAGGGGUUACAAGGUACAGUUGUACUCUGUGUUUAAUAUACAGAGGGUCUACACUACUUGAAUGGCAUAAACAACAGUUGUAACCCUUAAGCCAUUAGCCAUGGGUGAUUAACAUGAGGCAUAGACAAAUGAACGCAGGGACCAUGACCUCAACCCUGUGGUUAAUACUCAAUUAUCUGCAAGUGGACAGUUUCUUACAUGAAAUUUCUUGCUGGCUUUGAGAAUUCAAGCAUGCAUUUCAAAUUAUUAACUUCAAUUUUCUCAUCAACAAAGUCAGAUAAUUAAUAGUAGCUACUUCAAAGGUUAUAAGGAUCAAAGAAACUAAUAUCCAUGAAAUCAUUUGUGAACUAAAUAGCUAUGUAAAUCUUAGUGGUUUUAUUACUAUUACCAUUAAUAUUAUUAGUAUUGUACGGUUGCCAUAUUUGCCCUGUAAUUUCACUUAGAGUCCUACUCAAGAAGGUUGAGAUUAGUUCCUAUAAUGUUGUGGAAUACUUUGUAGCUUUGACUAGAAUGUGUGUUUUUAAAAAGGUUUCCCUUGCUAUUAUGGUGACACUGGCAAUUUUAAUUCCUCCCUCAUUUAAUGAAAUAAAUAAAUAAGAAAAUAAAAUGGUAAGGCAACAUAAAUUUGAAUACUGUAACUUUAACUCAAAAAAUCCAAUGGAAAUAGACAUAACCCCAUGAACUAAAAUACAGGAGAUACUAAUAUCCAUGAAAUCAUUUGUGAACUAAAUAGCUAUAUAAAUCUUAAUGGUUUUAUUACUAUUACCAUUAGUAUUAUGAUAUUAUAGGAAUGGAUAUAGGGUAUAAUGAAUAGGAUAUAAUAAUCCUGCUAUCAAAAGCAAGAACCUAAGAAUGAUUAUUAGUUGAAAUAAAAAGUAAAUUUAUUGCAUAACACAACUGAAAAUACAAAGGGUAAAUUUAAGGCAUAGUAUGAUCAUUGUUCAAUGACUAUGACCUAAUUAGUUCUAUAAGUGGGCUGAUUUUAAGAAGCUUAACAUUGCCAAAUUUGUUUCCCAUAUAUUGAUGUUUUUAAUUGAAGACAAACUUUCAGUUGUUUAUAAAGCUUUUUAGAUCCACCAUAAUCUCUUUCUGCACUCAAAUCCACCAGAUAGACCCUUGCUAUCAUGGAAUUUCACUUAAGUAGUACCAUUAUAAUCAGAAUUUAUCUGCAGUUCUUUAAUGAUAUUUUCUUUAAGAAAACUUUAGAAAAAGUUGUUUCUAGUAAAUUACAGUAGAUAUGUUUGGUGAUAGCUUUAAAUGCAAGUGUUAUGAAACAUAGAGGAACUAUAUCAUAAAAGCAAGAUUAAUGCUUUCUUUUUAAAAAUAGUAUCUUUAUUUGAGAUAUAAUUCAUAUCCCAUACAAUCCAUCCAUCUAAAAUAGACAAAUCAAUAGUUUUUAAUAUAUUCACAGUGUUUUGUAACCAUCAACAAAAUCAGUGUAGAACAUUUUCACCCUCCCCAGCAAAAAAGCUCUAUUCCCAUGACUAGCUGUUCCCACUUAUCCAGACCUUGGAACUUCUAAUCUACUCUUUAUCUCAAUAGAUUUUUCCUGUUUUGCAUAUUUUACAUAGAAUCUAUAAUAUGUAGUCUUUUGAGACCAGCUUCUUAUACUUGGCAUAAUCUUUUUCAAGUUUGUUACAGCAUGUAACAGUAUUUCAUUCUUUUUAUCACCAAAUAAUAUAUAAUUUUAUGAAUGUAUCAAAUUUUAUUUACAUCUUUGUUGGCUAAUAAACACAUGCAUUAUUUUCUCUUUUGGGCUAUUAUUAAUAAUGUGGCUAUGAACGAUUACAUACAAGUU
rnacentral:lncRNA from 1 species